GCGGGUAUAACUUAAUCGGUUAAAGUAUCAGACUGUGACUCUGAAAAUACGAGUUCAAUUCUCGUUACUCGCC
rnacentral:tRNA from 1 species